rnacentral:rRNA from 1 species
GGACUACUGGGGUAUCUAAUCCUGUUUGCUCCCCACGCUUUCGCGUCUCAGCGUCACUACAAGUCCAGCGAGUCGCCUUCGCCACUGGUGUUCCUGCGAAUAUCUACGAAUUUCACCUCUACACUCGCAAUUCCACUCGCCUCUCCUUGAGUCCAGACUGACAGUCUUGAAGGCAGUUCCAGAGUUGAGCUCUGGGCUUUCACCCCCAACUUAUCAGUCCGCCUACACGCGCUUUACGCCCAGUAAAUCCGAACAACGCUAGCCCCCUUCGUAUUACCGCGGCUGCUGGCAC